rnacentral:rRNA from 1 species
UACGUAGGGUGCAAGCGUUAUCCGGAAUGAUUGGGCGUAAAGCGUCCGCAGGUGGCUGUGUAAGUCUGCUGUCAAAGAGCAAAGCUCAACUUUGUAAAGGCAGUGGAAACUACACGGCUAGAGUGCGUUCGGGGCAGAGGGAAUUCCUGGUGUAGCGGUGAAAUGCGUAGAGAUCAGGAAGAACACCGGUGGCGAAAGCGCUCUGCUGGACUGCAACUGACACUCAGGGACGAAAGCUAGGGGAGCGAAUGGG